AUACGGAGGAUGCGAGCGUUAUCCGGAUUUAUUGGGUUUAAAGGGAACGUAGGCGGGAGCUUAAGUCAGCGGUUAAAUGGUGCGGCUCAACCGUGCCCUGCCGUUGAAACUGGGUUUCUUGAGAGUGCAAGAGGCGGAUGGAAUUCAUGGUGUAGCGGUGAAAUGCUUAGAUAUCAUGAAGAACUCCGAUUGCGAAGGCAGUCCGCUGGGGCACGUCUGACGCUGAUGCUCGAAGGUGCGGGAAUCAAACAGGAUUAGAUACCCUGGUAGUCCGCACGGUAAACGAUGAUUACCCGCUGUCGGCGGUAGACAGUCGGCGGCCAAGCGAAAGCGAUAAGUAUCCCACCUGGGGAGUACGCCGGCAACGGUGAAACUCAAAGGAAUUGACGGGG
rnacentral:rRNA from 1 species